CCUUCAGUUUCUUUACAUUUCCAACAUUUAUUAUCGGGCAAGUGAUAGAUUUUUGCAAGCUUGACUGGGGUCAUGUACCACCUGUAUAUCAUUUUCAUAAUAUUCUCUCUUAAAGCAUUACAUGCCGUAAACUUCAUACCUGUGGUCCACAACUGUUCCCAGUCAGCAAACAUAAUGUUAUGUCCAACAUCUUGUGCCCAUUUAAUCAUAGCAGGUUUCACCGUUUCAUCCUGAGUAUUCCAUUUCAACAGCAAGUUAUACAUCUUUGACAAAAUCUUAGUUUUGGGUUCUAACAGUUCUGUUUCUAAUUUUGAUUUUUCCACCUGGAAGCCAAUUUUCUUGUCCAAAUUAUAUGCCUCCAUUAUCUGAUAAUAAUGAAGCCAGUCUCGAACUUUAUUUUUUAGUUUCUCAAAACUCUGCAGUUUCAGUCUAUCUCCAUCUUGUUCCAAAAUUUCCCAAUAUUUCGGCCAAUUGGCCUCCAUAUUGAGCCUUUUCAGAGCUUUCGCUUCCAUCGGUGACAGCCACCUUGGGGUUUUGUUUUCCAAUAAAUCUUUGUAUCUUAUCCAAACAUUAAACAAUGCUUUCCUGACAAUAUGGUUUUUAAAUGCUUUAUGCGCUUUGACCUUGUCAUACCACAGAUAUGCAUGCCAUCCAAAUACAUUGUUAAAACCUUCUAGGUCCUGUAGUGGCCCCCUUCCCACCCCACCCGACUUACCAAUGGAGCCCUGCCUACCUUGCCAUUGUUUUGUUGCAGGCAAAAAAAAAAAAAAGUUUUCCAGGCAAGCACCAAUGGCAUGAUUAGAUUUUAGAUUGCUAAAUCUGUUUUUUAAUAUGUUUAUGAAAUUUUAUUAUUGCAUUUUUUAUUUUUUGAAAAUUGCUUCAGGACUUGUGGGAAGCAAUACAUAAAUUCAAUAAACCCAACCUAAAUCUUCAUUUCCCUAUUUUCUUUCUUUUUGCUAAAUGUUACCAUGGAGACUGCAAUUUAAAGCAGAAGAAGACCAGUCUAUGGGGAAAAGUCUCCUUAGCCCUUUUCAACAUUAUGGCUUAUUUUGCAGGGUGGGGGGAGGAAAUCAUCCCCUUUAAGCUGAUUUCCCAAGGUGCUUGGAAAGGAGAAAGGGAUGGGUUACUCUGUCAGUUUGGGUUUCCCUCAGUCAACCCAUUUCUCUAAUCAUAAACUUUCUUCUCCACAUUUCCAUAUCAGAUUGUAGGUUAAAAAAAAGUAACAAUAAAUGAAUGAAAAUUUAUCAGCAUUUUAGUGCAAAAUUCUCCUAAGAUACACAUUUUGUACAAUUUUAUCUAAUGCACAUUUUUUGUAAAACAGUAUGUUAUUUUCACUAAUGUGUGCGUUGUUAUUCACACAUUACCCUAGUACAUGCAAUUUUGAACAUGUGAGAACUGCACUGCAAAAUUUGGAAAUUUUCAGAUCUUGAAGGCUGACUGGGUUUCAAUUUGCAUAUUGGAUCAGAAAACACAGAUUAGGUAGGUUUGCCUUUAACUGCAAAAAUGAAUUUCAUUUCUCCCCCACCCCUAGGCAACCUGAGGCCAGAAAGCUACUUAUAGCAGGUUGGGUCUAUUGCUUUUAAUCAAGGAGAGGCUGAAAACAAUUUUCCAGUUCCUUCUGAGUUUUCCCAAAAAGUACUGAAAUGAGGAGAGAGUAACACACAAACAUGCCCUCUUCAUUUGUAUUCUGGAUUGUCUGCCAUCCCACUCCAUCUGUGUGUGGCUGGUUUUUUUAUUUUUUUAAAAAAGUCAUGGGAGUCGUUUCAUGCGCAUAUCAAUUAUCAACUUUAACCCUAAGAUGUGCAGUGGCAACCUUAAACAAAGGGAGAGAUUGGCUGUGGGGUGAGUUUAGCACACACACAUCCUUGUUGAAAGACUAAUUGAGGGAAAGUACAACAGAGCUUCAACUCUUUUAAGCAUUGCAUUAUGUUCACUGACAGAUUUCACUUGACAAAGGUGCUAUGUUACCAUGUUAAGCAUAUAAUGGCUAUGAUGCUAUUAAAUUAAUAGGAGCUGCACCAAUGGCUAUAACAUAUUAAUGAGAAAGAGAAGGGAAAUGAAUGCAUUAGCAGCAAACAAAUGCAAGUACAAUUUUCUAAAUUCUUAAUUUGGCCUUGAAAGUGUUCCGCCUCAUCUGUUUCCUCAAAUGAGAGCUCUCUAGCCAUUACUCAUUGUCUGGAGAGUUUUAAAUUAACAACUUCAUGCCAGCAGGAUUAAAGCAUUCAAUAAUGGCCAGGGCAAGGAGUGGGGAAUGCUGUUGUGGAUGUUUGUUGGUGUCUGAACUUUGUUACGAAGAUCUAUGGGGAGAAGAUGUGCCGAGAAGUGUCCUUCUGCCACCCCUUGCUCCAAACAUGGACAUUUAAUUUAAAGCAAUUCUUCAAAGGAGUCGUCUGUCUUUUGACUGCCGUACGCCAGGCAUUUACUUUGCAACAGCCUGGUGGGAGUCAGCAACCACCGUUCUGGACCAAACACUUUGGACAUUUCAGUGAGAAAUCCCUACCCGUGGGACAUCCCUGUCAUUUCUGGGAAGGGGUGAGAAACACCCCUGUCUGAAAUACAAGCAACACAGAGCCAAUAAAUGUAGACCAGGGUAGGGAACUUCAGACCUGGGGCCAGAUGCAACCAACAAAUCCUCUCUGUAUGACCCACAGGACCCUCCACAAGCCACACACACCCCUCACUAGUCCUGCUUAAUGUCCAUUUAUCAGUGCUUUUGCCUGGCGGGAGUGUGUUGCUGAACUUUGAUAAUGUCUGUGAGAGAUGUGUGUGGUUGUCAGGGUAUAGAAACCUGGUAAAGGUAAAGGGACCCCUGACCAUUAGGUCCAGUCGUGAACGACUCUGGGGUUGCGGCGCUCAUCUCGCUUUAUUGGCCGAGGGAGCUGGCGUACAGCAUGACUAAGCUGCUUCUGGCGAACCAAAGCAGCGCAUGGAAAUGCCGUUUACCUUCCUGCAGGAGCAUUACCUAUUUAUCUACUUGCACUUUGACGUGCUUUCGAACUGCUAGGUUGGCAGGAGCAGGGACCGAGUGACGGGAGCUCACCCCGUCACAGGGGAUUCGAACCGCCGACCUUCUGAUCAGCAAGUCCUAGGCUCAGUGGUUUAGACCAUGGCGCCACCCGCUACCGACUGUCAAAGGUAAGAAUCACAUCCAUAGUGCCACUCACCCAGCCAGAUCCACAAGAAAGGUUCCCCAGAAAAACAAAGAAUUAAAAAAGUUCCCUGGGUAGGCAAUAUGGAGCUAGCUGUCCCAAUGCUCUGACUCUGUAUAAGCCAGCUUCCCAUGUUACUCUGGCCUUCUAACAACAAAUCUUCCAGUGAUCCUACAACUAUGACACAUGAAUGAAUUCCCUACACAGAGACUCCUGACCUUGGUUCUGAGCCCCACCUUCCAUCUGACUAGUCUCAUUUGUUUCCCAGUGCUCUGUAUGCAAUACAUUUGGCCGACUACAUCUCUCUGAGUGUAGCUGAUAUAUCAGUAGUCCAAGUUAUGGUGCAUAUUAAUUGAAAGCUAAUACUAUGUUUAGAUAAUAGUAAUACUUAAGCACAUAACAUCUUCAACGUGCUGUACAAACAUUAACUAAUUAGUACCCCCAACACUCCACUGAGGUGUGUAAUUAUGUGCAUUAUUAGAGCUGGUGGAAUUAUUCCUUAUGAAUAAAUUAGCCAGCAGAAUUGGCUUUUUUCCCUAUUCAGAAAUUUGUAUGAAUCCCAGCCUAAUAUUAUUUUCUCUCUUUGGUUUAGGAAUUGUAUCGUGAGCAGACCAGCUAGAUUAGCUUGCCCCGACCUGAUGGCCUUCAGAUGUUUUAUACUAGAACUCCCAUCAGCCCCUGCCAUCAUGGUCGGGAAUGAAGAAAGUUGUGGUCCACAACAUCUGAGGGCAAGUUGGGAAGACUGACCUAGAUUUGGCCCAGAUUUGAUCCUUGUAUGAAGAUCAGAACAUCUAUGUGGGUGGGCAGAGUGUGUCCUUGAAAAAAUGGUUUUCCAACAAGGUGACAGAAAUGGCCAUUCAUUAAUGAUAGGGUUGAGUGACACAACACCAUGCAUGAAGCGUCUGUCCAAGAAUUUGGUAUACAGUGGUACCUUGGGUUACAUAUGCUUCAGGUUACAUACACUUCAGGUUACAGACUCCACUAACCCAGAAAUAGUGCUUCAGGUUAAGAACUUUGCUUCAGGAUGAGAACAGAAAUCGUGCAGCGGCAGUGCGGCGGCAGCAGGAGGUCCCAUUAGCUAAAGUGAUACCUCAGUUUUAGGUUAAGAACAGGCCUCCGGAACGAAUUAAGUACCAUAUUUUUUGCUCGAUAAGACUCACUUUUUUACCUCCUAAAAAGUAAGGGGAAAUUUGUGUGCAUCUUAUGGAGCGAAUGCAGGCCACACAGCUAUCCCAGAAGCCAGAACAGCAAGAGGGAUCACAGCAAGAGCGAUUCCUCUUGCUGUUCUGGCUUCUGGGAUUCAGAAUAUUUUCUUUCUUGCUUUCCUCCUCCAAAAACUAGGUGUGUCUUAUGGUCUGGUGCGUCUUAUAGAGCGAAAAAUACGGUGCUUAACCCAAGGUGCCACUGUAUAUGGAAUGUUCUUAAUCUGAUUUAUGUCCCUGGAGAAUGAGUAGACUGGUCCAUUUUAUACAUACAUAAUUGUAUUUUGUAUGCCACCUUUCCAUAGCUAAAACCAUGCUUAAGGUGGGUUACACCGGGGGGGGGGGGGUUGACCAUAAUAAUUACAAACAUAACAAAGUAGUCAUAAACAAUAACUAAAACAUCAAAAGUACUCAACCAAAUUAAACAGUUUCCACAUACAUCAUAAGAAGAUCUAAAAUAAAGAUGCAAAAUAUUAUUAUCAAAAACAGCAACUACCUCCCCCCUGCAACAAACCCCCUAAACAAUACUCGAACCCAAGAGUCUGUUCAGCAGCCUCAGCUUUCGUAGGUGGAGUCAGUCAGGGCACCACCAUCACAGGCCAGGUGGCAAAAAGACCUGCAAGGCAGGGAACAGGUCUUCCAGGACUCACAGUCAAGACUUUAUGCAUUCCAUCAAAUUACUAUGCAUAUUUUUUUUUGGCAAAAUCUCUAGUGCCUUGGAGCACCUAGGAAGUGUCCUGCUUGCCACACAUGCUGAACAGUUUUAAGUAAAAGAAGCUUCUGGAAGCGACAGUGCAUUAUGAUGUGCCACUGCUUCCCUAGCAGUUGUACACACAAAAGGACAGCUGCCCCCACAUACCACCGCAACAGAGAAUAAUGCAAGCCUGAGACCCUCAAAAGGAUGUACAAGUGGAAAGGUUUGUAGACGUGCAAAAUAAUUCACGUCUUCAUUCUGAUCUGUGCACAAUCCAUCAAAUGCAAACUGGGAAGGUUCACUCCAAAGUGCAGAGUGAACCAUAGUCCUUCAUCCCUAACUAAAAGUAGCUGAAACUCCACCUGACUGAAAAUAGUAGUGAGCAUACCAUAAUACCCUCUUGCAAUGAGUUACCUGGGGCUAGGGAGGAUGAGAAGAGAAAGUAAGCCUUUGGAACAAGGGCUGUAAUUUUCUUUUGUGGAACUGGGUUCCAAGGUGGUUUCCUACCCAGGCCCAGCCUUACUUAGCUAAGUUUAGCCCUGUGCCAUAGUAUGUAUUUGUAUUAUUAUUUUUUUCUUGCAUCAGCAGUUAAUAAUAGCCCAGAAGUAGGUGGGAGUAGACCAGGACAUCCCUGUGCAAUAGAAGUUAUUGAUGACAUGGUAACUUAGAUCACACAAACAGCACCCAUUCUUUAGGCAGGCAUGCCAGGAUUUAUCUCAGGAUUUAUCACCUGUUCAUCUGAGAAUGACUGUGGUUUGCAGGGAUUAAAUGCCUUACAUAAAUGAAGUCAGUUCAUGGAAGAUGGCUUCGUGUGGAGGGACCCCAAAAUUGAAAGGGACUGAACAAUGGCUUUAAGGGGGAGGUAGUAGAUGUAGUCAAGAUGGUAUGAUUAAUGUUUAUGCCUGCAAUCUUUUUUGGAUCUACCUGACCAUGGAUUUUGACAUAUAAGCAAAAGCAAACAUCUGAACUGCACGUGAACACAAUGAUAAAAAGAACAUUUGAGUCAGAACAAAUAAUGAGGACUUGCCCUUCACAUACAGAGAUUUAUUUGGCUCAAAUUAUAACAUUCUCCAUCUACUUGCUUGGAUUUGUAGUUCUAUUAUACUUUUCUUGUCUUCUGAUUUUUCCACAUUGUGUGCUAUAUUCCCUCCCCUAUUAAACUGAGGCUUCUGUUUAAACUCAAGAGUACAUUUCCUAAGAUAAAUAAAUAAAUGUUGUUAGAAUGCAGAACAAACAGAUCUUCAAGGAUUAUAUAGCUUUUCGGGGGGGUGUAGUUUAUUUUACACGUAGUCCCCCCCACCCCCGCCACCCACACCAAUCCGUAUUGCAAAGAAAGUGAGAAAAUGGGCUCCAUAGAGCAGCAUUGUGUAUCUGGGAAGACCCGGAGAGAUUAUUAUAGCAGGCAACACUGGGAUCGUUAGGGUAACCAUAGCAACCCAAAUCCUUUUUUAUAUACUUUGUGGUGAAUUCUUUCAAUUUUGUUGCCUUUCUUGUCAAAUGCAAUGAAUUUCUAAAUUUGCACUUGCAACAUGCAUUUCAAAUUUAGUUUCGGCGAGUCUGACGAAGAUUGAUUUUAAUGAUGUUCCUUUAAAAGGGAGAAAAAGAAAAAGAAAAAGAACAUGGGGAAUAAGACUAGAGGAGCAGCAAACUAAACUUUUACAGAACCCAGCUGCAUCUCAUGUGGACAAUAUACUAAGCAGUCUUGUAAAGAGCCCCAGAAAAGGUCCCAGCCUGCAAUAAAAUUAAGUUAAAAGAGCCUACUGCAAGGCCAAUAGCCUGCAUUUUCAUGCAGGCAACUGGGGAGAAGAAGUCCUAUCCACCAUGCCCAGCAUGGAAACACAAGCUUUCGGCCUCUUGGCCAGAAUAAGUACAAGAAUUACGGAAAUUCUGGGUCCCUUUGGCUACUGGGCAAGUUGUUAAAUGUUACAAAGCUGGAAGAUAUAUUUUUGCAAGGUAUACAAAAAUCUUAGUUUCAACCGUACAUCCUAGGACUUUUGAGGGGAUAUAAGACCUGGAAAAUACUUAGGACAGAUGGGUUGACUGGCUCCUUGAAGCUGCAAGUUCUCCUUGAGUUAUGCUACAUUUCUGACCAUUCUCAAAAAGCAUGUUGGUGUGCUUGUUUUGAUUGGCUGUUUGUUGUUGUUGUUGUUUAGUCGUUUAGUCGUGUUCGACUCUUCGUGACCCCAUGGACCAGAGCAUGCCAGGCACUCCUGUCUUCCACUGCCUCCCGCAGUUUGGUCAAACUCAUGCUGGUAGCUUCGAGAACACUAUCCAACCAUCUCAUCCUCUGUCGUCCCCUUCUCCUUGUGCCCUCCACCUUUCCCAACAUCAGGGUCUUUUCCAGGGAGUCUUCUCUUCCCAUGAGGUGGCCAAAGUAUUGGAGCCUCAGCUUCAUGAUCUGUCCUUCCAGUGAGCACUCAGGGCUGAUUUCCUUCAGAAUGGAGAGGUUUGAUCUUCUUGCAGUCCAUGGGACUCUCAAGAGUCUCCUCCAGCACCAGAAUUAAAAAGCAUCAAUUAUUCGGCGAUCAGGCUUCUUUAUGGUCCAGCUCCCACUUCCAUACAUCACUACUGGGAAAACCAUAGAUUUUACUAUACGGACCUUUGUUGGCAAGGUGAUGUCUCUACUUUUUUGGCUGUUAGGAUGUAUUAAAUCGUAAAGGUGGAACUCAAAUAUGAAAUGGGUGUAUUAGAAUUUAGCAGUAAACUUGAUAAAAUUCAUUUCAGACUCAAACAGCUGAAGGCCCUGUUGUCUCAAGGGUCCUACUGGUAAGAUGAUGUUUGCCCCUCAACAGCUAUUUGCCAGCAAGCAGCCUGUUAAUUUUUGCCUGGAAACGUAAGAACGUAGGAAGCUGCCCGAUAAUGAGUCAGAUCAUUGGUCCAUUUAGCUUAGUAUUGCCUACACUGACUGGCAGAGGCUCGCCAGGAUUUCAGGCAGAGUUCUCUCCCAGCCCUACCAGAAGAUGCUGGAGAUUGAAGAGGCCUGCCAUGUACCACUGAGUUACAGCCUGCCUGACACACCAUAACCCUGGACUUUGACAGAUUAGGAGGCACCUUUAUUCUUUUUAGGGACACGGGUGGCGGCGUGGGUUAAACCACAGAGCCUAGGGCUUGCCGAUCAGAAGGUUGGCGGUUCGAAUCCCCGCCACAGGGUGAGCUCCCGUUGCUCGGUCCCAGCUCCUGCCAACCUAGCAGUUCGAAAGCACGUCAAAGUGCAAGUAGAUAAAUAGGUACCACUCUGGCGGGAAGGUAAAUGGCGUUUCCAUGGGCUGCUCUGGUUCACCAGAAGUGGCUUAGUCAUACUGGGCACAUGACCUCGAAGCUGUAUGCUGGCUCCCUCAGCCAAUAAAGCGAGAUGAGUGCCACAACCCCAGAGUCGUCCGCGACUGGACCUAAUGGUCAGAGGUCCCUUUACUUUUACCUUUUAUUCUUUUUUAAAAAAAUAUUCUUGGUGUUGUAUUAAAUAUUGAUUUUAUCCAAUUUAAAAUUAUAUCAUUGUUUUGUUGUAACCUGCCUUGGGAACCUUAAGGUGAAAGACAGGUGAGAAAUCCUAUCAAUAAAUUAAUACUUUGGGCUGUAUCAAACAUUCUUUGUCCACUAGGACAAGGGCACUAGCGGAAACUAAUUAUGCAACAGAUUUCACAAUCUGUAGCGUAAUAAAGUUACCAGAAACCUGCUUAUGCAUUCUGUUGCACAACAAUGUUCUACUAGAACAAAAUGUUCUGCUGGUAUAACCAAGUAUACUGUAACUCUCAGGGAAUUUAACUUAGAGUUGCAUUAGACACAGCCACUUGCUUUUCAUCUUUAAAAAAAUACCUAUGUUGGUGUGGGAUUCCUACUGAGAACGCAAUGUGUGGGGAAUGGGAACUUUUUCUUCUGGGGACGGGCGGAGGGAGGUGCAGAUUGGGAAUCUCCAUUCUGGUCACAAUGAGAAAGGGAAGAAAUAAGCCUCUCCAUUUCCUGUCUUCACAGCCUCCCACAUUUAUAAUCAUUUAAUGAAAAACAAUAUAUGUAGCUGUAUGGUACACAUUAAGGAAAGAUCAAAAAUUGUAUCCACUAUGAGUCCUAUUCAGAGUAGACCCACUGAAGCUAAUAAGCAAGACUAACUUAGAUGUGUUAAUUUCAUUGAAUCUAAUCUAAGUAUAAUUUAACUGGGAGGAACCCCAAGUUGGGCCCUUGGGUAGAAAUGUAAGUACUUCAAUAAUCAGACCACUAAACGAAGAAAAUAGAUAAACGGAAAUCCCGUUUGCACUUCACGCAUCUUUGCAUUUCAACAAUAGAUUGGAAGCAAAUGUAUGCAAGGUGCAGGGAUUCCUCUGAUGCGCACAGCAUACAUCUUCUAAGUAUAAUGUUGAUUAAAAAAAAUACUCUGAAUUGAGACUAGACAACUUCUAUUUUACUAAUGUAACAUAGGAAUCAUACUUUAGCAGAGUCUGGGUGAUUUUGCAUUCCUGACAUGAGGCAACUGAAAUUGGAUUUCUGUCACUUUUCAUCUAAAUAAAAUCAUCUUCUCAUCUGCAAUAUUUGCUUUUUUGCUAACUGGUCAAAUACGAUGUGGUUAAAUGAGAAACUCUCUCAGCUGGCCAGCACUUUCAUGCCUAAAUGAAGACCCUUCCAAUAGUGACAGUAUGGAUCAAAGGAUUUCAGUUGCAGAGCCAGCUUUCAGAUGUCCCACAAGAAAGUUUCCUUUUUGAUGUUUCUAAGAACCAGCAAUCAGAUGUGGAAUGAGGGCUCCCUAAGGAUUUUUUCCCCAGUCUGGAUUUUACGCCUUGCCUUAAGACCUUGUUUCCCUGCAGCCUUACCUUAUCAAAUGCCUCAAUCAACAUCUGCUCACCCACAACUUGGUUCAGUGACAUGUCAUCUGAGGCUCCGGAGUCAGUGUUCUCAUGACUGGGGGUGGGGAGCAGUCAAAAUGCCAUUUUCAACAAACUCCACUAGAGUCUCAAGAGUGGCCUUGAGGCCUGUUAUCUCCCACACUUCCCAAAAUUCCUUCAAGCGUGUGCCGAGAUAGAAAGCAAUGAUCCCAUAGAGCCUCCCACAGUUCAGCCUGUUAGGAUUUCAUGCUCCCUGAUGCUGAUUUUAUGUUUGGUAUAUUUCACACGCCUGUCUGAGUGGAGCCUGAGAAAGGAAGGCUGUCUUCUCUCUCUUCCGGUGUGAGUCUGUGAAACUGUACUUUCACUUUUAUGCUGUGUUGUUUGUUCUCGGAGCUGGAGAGAACAGACGCCAUAAUGCUGUUGUCUGUAAAUAUUCUGUAAAUAAAUAGUAGUUUACAAUGCCUCUUUCCUUUUGCUGUGUCAAGAGAGAAGGCUAGUGUGCAUAAAUCAAGUUGGUUUAUGUCGCUGGAGCGCCCUGGAGAAGAAGGGGAUGCCUUUUCCAGAGCUAUGCUCACCAGAGGACACUCGAAGAUCUGGGGGGCUGCAGUUAGCCCGGAGCGCUCUCCCAACACAACCCCCCCUUCACCUGAGUUUCUGUGGCAGGGGCCUCUUUGCCUGCAGCCGGCAUAGUUUUAGCCUUUGGGGGUUGGUAUUGCACAGGGUCAUUGAAAAUGUCACCAUGAAGGGCUGGGUCCAUGGACCAGUUUAAUCAUCUCAUCAGCAGUGGCAGCAUCAGACCUGUCCCCUGCAGCAAAGUGAUCCAUACGGAAACCAGAGCUGUCAAUACUGUCAAGAGAACCCACAUGUUGAUCUGGCAGUGGCUGAUUUACAUCCAGCCUCCUUGUGUUUGCUGUUUCAUUCCCGGUUGAUAUGUUGUUACCUGUACCAUAAAAGUCCAAUAUAGAUUUCUGCUGCUGACAGUCGUCCUGAGACUUUCUGAGGGGCAGGGUGGACCCCACAUGCCUGGGCAUGGGUGAGAACCAUCCUGCCCUUUUGUGAGCCUUUUAUGUACUGCCAUAUUUUAAGCAAACUGACCUGAUUCACAUUUUGUGCUCUACUACGUGGAUUGGAACACAGUUAUCAUGUGUACUACCCUGAAUGUUGUGAUUCACUUCUCAGUUCAAAAAAACUUAACCAGAAUGCAUAUAAAAAUGUGCACGUUAGUUUAAAAUGCAAAUUUUUGGAUAAAAUGCAUACAAAAAUACAUAUUCUAGGGCAGAAAAAUGUGUAUUGGGGGGAAGGAGUGUGAAAUAUAAUGCUGAUUUUAAUCAACUUUUAAAAUAAAAUAAAAUAAUGCAGAGUGAUGCCGAAAUGUGAUGGAACAGACGUAUGAAUGAGCACGUGAAAUUGGCACAGACUUGAAACAGACUUAUCUGCCCACUCCUCUUACACAUCUGACUAGUCCUGCUUCAUUGUAAUGUCUAGUGUUAGAGGACAGGAAUGUCUGGAUCCUAUAUAGCUCCUUAGGGUCACUGAAGUGUGAUCCACUUCCUUAACUUAGUGUGCUGUAGCCGUUGGAAUGUUAGGACUAGAUUUAGCCAACAAAUCCCAUUCAUGGAAGCUGCUCAAGGACUUCCACUAGUGCAGUGGGGAUUUUACAUCUUCUCCUCCCCUGUGCACCCCCCUUUGGCUCCUGUGUGUGUGUGUGUGUGUGUGUGUGUGUUAGGAGAACCCACAAAACAACAUACAGGGAUCAUUCCAUCUGUAAAGCUGAAAUUACAUUGUUCAUAGAAUGAACAGUGCUGUGUUGAAUUCCUCCCCUUAGACUGGAACCCAGAAGGCCAGGGUUAAAAUUGCUGCUCAGCAAUGAAGUGUGUUGGGUGUCUCUUAGCUCCCUCUUUCCAAGAGGAAUGUUGGGUUAUUUGCAGUUUUGCUGCUUUUCAAAUCUUGGGUCACAAAAUCUUAACACCCCAUCUUAAAGUGUGGUACAGUUGAGAGAACACAAUUACAGUUAUGUUUUCUUUCAUUUCCUGCAACAAAUUAAUUUCAUUUAAAGGGGGUGGGGUGGGGGAAACCAAAGAAACAUUUAUAUAGAAAACUAUUGCAGAAAGGCAGAAUAAGAGCAAAAGCCCACCAGAAAGCCCUGCCUGGUGCUUCGAAGAGCAUAAUUAAUAAAGGCUAGUCUUUUAGUGUUUAAACUCCCAUUUGAUUUUGUAGGGGGAAAAAAUAAAUAAAUCCUUAACUAUCCUAAAGAUCUUCUGUGAUAAAAAAUUCAUAAAAGUGAUUGGUGUUGGCCAAGUGGAAAUGGAACUGAACAGCACUAUGCAAAGGUCACAUUAAUUAAAGGAAGCGACUCGGCAGACAUAUUUCAUGCCUGUUUCAUGCUAACAGAGCUGUCGAAACGCAUCAAGUCAAAGCACUGCUCUAGAAGGCUCAUGGUCUACAUGGGAAUUGUGGAAUACAUGAGCCCCGUUUCAGUGUUCUGCGUGGUGCGAAAGAAAAGAGAGGUGUUUUGCAUGUUUAGUAUGUGCCUGCCCCCUCAGCCCAGUGCCAGCCCCUUUCCCACACCAAGGGUGUUCACACAUUACAUUCAGUGACUACGUAUACACAAUAGCAGAGCUCUACAAAUAAAGAAGAGUUUUUUUCACACAAACACUUGUACCUGAGUUCAGCACAAGUCUAAACAGUUGAGCUGCACACUCUCACGGUGAUUCAAACAUUUAAAAAGUAUAUGGUCUGUGUGGUGUUGCUGGGGGAAGUGGGGAACUUUGAAAGCAACUCAAAAGGGGAUAUUUUAAAGGUCUAACAGCCUCUAUAUUCACACCUUACUUUGCUGCAUAUUCUGUGAUUUUAAAUCUCUGCUAGGGUUCUCUCACCCAAUAGAGCUUGCCCCAAACCUGGAUCUUGGCAUCCAGGAAAUUCUCCUUUUUAUAUCUAUUUUUCAUUGCCACUAACAAUCCCCAGCCACUGGCAUUCAGAGGUAUACUGACUCUGAUACUGGGGGAAUUAUUUGGGCAUUAUGUCUUGUAGCCAUUGAUAUAUUUCCAUUCAUAUUCAUGGAGGAUAAUGCUAACACAUGCGUAAUAUGUAUUCACCUGGCUGGUGUAUACAUUAUGUUGCUUGCAUUUGAUUUAAUUUAAUUUUUACUCUACACAACUGAUUUACUCUUAGCUAUUUAUGCCUGGUCUCUAGAUUAUUCUAGGAGUUGGUUGGAGAUUUUUGUGAGCAGAUUAUCUGCUUCUUAGAUGUAUCAAAUUAAAGCUAGUUGCUGUGUUUGGCAGACUAUAGAGAUGAAUGGGAGCCAUGAAAUAAAAUAUACUGGCCCCAAUUCAGCUUCAGGCAUAUGCAUGUAAAAUUACUCUUCCAUGCAUGGUAAAUGAGGAACUUCAUGAGCACUAUUCAUUUUUUCAACUUCAAUUGAUUUUGAUAUUACUGAUACAAUAUUUUAUAAUGAGUUUCAGAAUCAUUGCAAUAGAAUAGUGGAGCAUUUUAAAAUAACAACCAGCCACAUGCAAAACCUAGUCUUGUAGGGAAUGGGCAUUUCUAGAACUAAUCCCCAUUUCCUUGCUGUAAUAAUAAUAAAAAACAAUAGAUUUUUUUUUUGUUACAAACCCUUAGUGCCUGAUAGCUUAUUCAAUAAUGCUUUAAAAUGUGCUUGGUUCCUGUUACAUUUUUAUUAAUGCAUGGAUCAUACAAAAAAAUGAGAGUCAAAGCUGCACAGAAUUUCAUUCUCAAAUGAAUUAUAUCAUUCUUAUUUUUUAUUUUUUUUAAGCAAGGACUGAGACGUUAUUGGUUUCGUAAUUUUCUUUUUAUGAUGAAUAGUGGUUAAAAAGUGCUGGAACUGCUCCUGGCUUAAACUGUUUUAAAUGAGCAUUAUAAAAGCAAAGCACUUCUGUGUGGUGAGGGCAUAGGAACUAGUGGGGGUGCUAGUGGCAGUAUUUAUGACCCCUCUUGAAAGGGAGCCUUGGAGAGAGAGAGAGAGAGAGAGAGAGAGAGAGAGAGAGAGAGAGAGGUCAUGUGCUUUGGACAGGGCUGAUUCUUAAAUGGAAACUUUUCCAGCCCUUUCAUUUGACAAGGGUAAAGGGAGGUACUCUGGUCUACAUGGUGGUGGGAUCCUAAAGUCAGGGCUUCAGGGAGACAAUACCAAUUCCAGUUUCCUACUGAGUAUAAAUGCAUGUUUUUUGUCUUUGCAAAUUACCUAAAAUAUGUUCAGAUAUGCCUUAAAAAUGCAUUGUGUAAAGCAACUCACUUUGCUAGUUCAGAAGUCAAGUGAUUAAAGAGAGGUGCAAUAUGUGAUUAACACUUCAACCAAUUAAUCAUACCUAUUAAUCAAUUGAAAGCUCACAGGCUUAAUAAGAAUAACAAUGAACUUUAAAUGUAGCUUGCAAGGAAAAAAGUAUACCUACCAGGCAAUAAAUUCUUUAAACAUUCCUCCCUGCUGACCAUGUCCACCAAGAUUUAGCAUCUUAGUUUUAAGCACUGGCGUACCUCCCUGCAAAGCUGGAUAAUGUUAAAGUGCCAUUUUGAGCAUAAGGCACACCCUGAUUCCACUUUUCAUGGAAAUGUUUUGUUACUCACAGAGAUUAUGUAAUGUGAAUAGCUAAUGCACAUUUACAAACAUCCAUGUGCUCAUGCUGUGGAGCCUUGAUUGACCAGAAAUCCUCAGCAUGUGUGUUAAGAUACGUGCAGCUGAUGUUCAGAUAGCAUAAUGUUUGAUUAUAAAAUGCAUUGUUACAAUAUGUCGUACUGGCCACCGGUAGGGCUGGCCAGUGUGAGGCAUCUGCCUAAGAUAGCAAACAUGAAGGAACGACAGUGAGGUUCUGGAAAACAGGACAUGUCUGUGUAUCCUCUAAGAAAGCCUGCUGCCCUCAGGUGUGGUGUCCCCUCAGCAGUGCUGAACUAUAUGGAAUGAGAGGAGGCUUCUGCAUAUGCACUAGGAAGGUUGCCAUCUUGUCCUUCACUCAGGAAGCAAAAUGUCUUGGACAGGCCCUGACUACUGGGUUAGAUGACCUCAGAAGGGUGAACAGACAAAUUCUCAGAGGAUAUUUCAACAAAAAGCAAAUGACAACACGCAGUGCAUUGCAUGCAGUAGGUCGCAGUUACAAUCUCUGGGAUCUCACAGUAGGCUGGGAAAGACUUCUGUCUAAACUGGAGUCAUGUGUUAUGUACAAAAGGCCUCUUGAAAUUAUCCCCUGUAUUAGUGGACAGAGGUAAUCAUUUCAUUACAUAUCUGCAGAAAGAGGAGCAGUUCUCCAAGAGGAUCUAAGGGUGGUGCUCACCAUUACAGUGGUACCUCGGGUUACAUACGCUUCAGGUUACAGACUCCGCUAACCCAGAAAUAGUGCUUCAAGUUAAGAACUUUGCUUCAGGAUGAGAACAGAAAUCGUGCUCUGGCGGUGCGGUGGCAGCAGGAGGCCCCAUUAGCUAAAGUGGUGCUUCAGGUUAAGAACAGUUUCAGGUUAAGUAUGGACCUCCGAAACGAAUUAAGUACUUAACCUGAGGUACCACUGUAGCUUCUUUUUAAAAAUUUAAAUUAAGAGCAGAAGCAGCACCAAAGACCAUGUUGGCAGCAUGGCCACAGUUUUGUGUGUGAAAAUGAGAACUGCCACAAACAAAAAAUGGUGGAGGGUAUUUUGGAAGGGUUCUGCAAAUGGGUGAGAAAAAGAAAAAUCUCAAAUUUUCUCAGAAAUUAUCCCCCCUCCCAUAACAUUUUUUUUCAGCUCUAAUCUGAACACAAGAGCCUUGGCAGAUCAGCAUAUAAAUCUAUCUAGUUCAGCAUACUGUUUCUCACAGUGAUCAACCAUAUGCUUAUAUGGAACUCCCACAAGAAGAAGAAGAAGAGAAGAGUUUGGAUUUGAUAUCCCGCCUUUCACUCCCUUUUUUUUAAGGCGUCUCAAAGCGGCUCACAUUCUCCUUUCCCUUCCUCCCCCACAACAAACACUCUGUGAGGUGAGUGGGGCUGAGAGACUUCAGAGAAGUGUGACUGGCCCAAGGUCACCCAGCAGCUGCAUGUGGAGGAGCGGAGACGCGAACCCGGUUCCCCAGAUUACGAGACUACCGCUCUUAACCACUACACCACACUGGCUCUCACAAGCAGCAGUCCUGCUGGUUUUUCUUCAGUGACUAGUACUCAGAGGCAUGCUGAGUAUUAGGCAAAUUGGACCCUUUGGAGGUAUAUAACCAUGUAACUGGUGGUCAGUGAUAGCCUUAUCUUAAUCCCUGUUAAAGCCGUCCAACCUGGUGGCUAUUACUACAUCUUGAGGUAGAAAAUUCCUAUCUUCCUAAUGGCAGCCAACCAUGAAAGUUCAAUAAAAACAUCCCUAUCCUGAGGCAGUAUGCUGAAUUGUUGAUUGCUGAACAAUGGAUUGCUGCUGCAUUGAAGUCAUGCUUGUGGGCUUCCCAUAAACACCUGGAUGGCCACUGAGAAUGGACUGCUGGAUCAGAUGAGACACUGGCUUGUGAUCCACGAGACAGUCACCUCCAGACAGGAUUAUUGUAACUCACUCUACAUGGGGCUGCCCUUGAGACUGACCCAGAAACUCCAGCGGGUGCAGAAUGCCGUGGUGAGACUCCUUACGGGAUCACAUUCACCCGGUGCUAUACCAGCUGCACUGGCUCCCGGUGGAGUACAGGAUCAGGUUUAAAGUGCUGGUUUUAACCUUUAAAGCCUUAUAUGGCCUAGGACCCUCAAACCUACGGGACCGCCUCUCCUGGUAUGUCCCACGGAAGACCCUACGGUCUUCAAACAAAAACGUCUUGGAGGUCCCAGGCCACAGGGAGAUUAGGCUGGCCUCAUCCAGAGCCAGGGCUUUUUCGGCUGUGGCCCCAAUCUGGUGGAACUCUCUGUCACAAGAGACUAGGGCCCUGCGGGACUUGACAUCUUUCCGCAGGGCCUGCAAGACAGAGCUGUAAUCCUCACAGAACUCUAGCCCAAUGGUUGCCAUUAAUUUGAUUUUGAAUUGAUUUUAAAAUGAAUUGAUUUUAGAAUGCUGUGUUACUUUUAUUGUUGUUAGCCACUCUGAGCCCGGCUUCGGCUGGGCAGGGCGGGAUAUAAAUAAAAUUUUAUUAUUAUUUUUUAUUAUUUAGCUGGCCCUUCAUAUAUUCACAUCGCAGGCGGACAUUGUUUCAGUGGUACCCUAUUCAAGACCCAAAUUUGGUGCCCCCUCACAUCUUGCCUUCUGUUCUCCAUGUUCACUACAUCAUAGUUGUGACACCCUGUGGUACCCCCUCAGCUUGGCACCCAGUGCAGGGGAACCAGUCACACUCCCCUAAAUCCGCCUCUGUUCAUAGAAUCAAAGACUCACAGAGUUGGAAGGGACCGCCAAGGGUCAUCUACUCCAACCCCCUGCAAUGCCCAUAUAUAUUGGGCCACUGAGUGAUAGAAGAUGUUGGGGCUAGUCUGAUUCAUUGGGGCACCUUUUAUAUCCAUGUUAUACACCUGUGCUGCAGGUAACACCAUGAGUAGCAUGGCCAUAGUGUAAAAUGUAAAUGGCUGGGUUGUUGAAAUAUUUCCUAGCUGUUUCUUUGCCGCUAACUCUCCAAUAUUCUAAAAGCUAUUCUUAUCCAAACGGAAUAUAAAUCAUUUACAUGAAGUUUUACAGACACACAAACGUGAAAAAUCUUCUGCUGCUGUUAAAUGGGAUGAACCAUUUGUGCUUCACAUAGAUAGGGGGACAUGCUGUGCCCCCAUCUUUCAUUGCUCAUUAGGAAGAUCACUGCAAAAGUCAUUUUGAAGUCUAUUGCUUCUGCACUCUGUCAUCUGCAUUACACAGUUUUGUUUGCACCAUUUUCUUAUUAGAACAAUACCCACAAAGACAGAAACAAAACACAAGAUGGAGCAAGAUGGCAGGAAACACAUCACAGCUAGUCAGUUUCAAUUUUCACGUCAAAUGUUGCCCAUUUAACAAAGUAGAACUUGUAAAAAAAAAAAAAAGUGAUGCAUUUGGGGACUGUUAAAGGGAAGCAUCUUCUCAGCGUUGGAGCUGGAGAAUUCCCAGGCAAGCUCUGAAAGAACCUGGGUGGAGAAGCUCCACAGCCUCAACUGAGCCUCAACAAGCCCUACAAGGACACGGAGCGGCUAAUGUCUAUUCCAUCCCCCUGAAAAUAAAACCAGAUUGUUCAGUAGUUUAAGCUUGCACCAUUCUACAUUCUUUUCUUUCCCAUUUCUUAGCAGAUUUCAAUUAAUUGUGAACUUGUCUGGAUUUAAAAAGGAUCCCACAGGGCAUCACAAGAAUGUAAGAAGCUGCUUUAUACUGAGUCAGACCAUUGGUCUAGCUGGCUGUGUAUUGUCUUGGCAGCUGCUCUCCAAGGUUGGAGAUGCGAGGGACUCAACCUGAGGCCUUCUGCAUGCAAAGCAGAUGCUCUGAGCCAGUGUGGUGUAGUGGUUAAGAGCGGUGGACUCGUAAUCUGGUGAACCGGGUUCGAUUCCCCGCUCCUCCACAUGCAGCUGCUGGGUGACCCUGGGCUAGUCACACUUCUCUGAAGCCUCUCAGCCCCACUCACCUCACAGAGUGUUUGUUGUGGGGGAGGAAGGAAAAGGAGAAUGUUAGCCGCUUUGAGACUCCUUUGGGUGGGUGGUGAUAAAGCGGGAUAUCAAAUCCAAACUCUUCUUCUUCUUCUUCUCUGAGCCACAGACCUUCCCACCUGUGUUGCAGCGCCACAGAAAGUGAGCCCCUUGCUCCAACAAAGGCUAGUGGUAGACUGAGGACUUCUGAGCUCCGCCCACAGCCCACCUCUCCUAGGCGCCACUCCCUUUGUGGGAACUGCUAUCCUUAAAGGGAUAGCCUCUGACCUAAGUCCUUCUUUGACCUACAUCUGGCUUCUCCUCCCUGGCAUCCUCUUCAGUGUGUUCCUUCUGCCAUGGCAAGACACUCACUUCCUUGGGCUCAGGGGAACAAACCUGUAAGAGCCUCAGCUGUGGUUCUACAGGCCUGGUGUUGUUGGAUCUGGUCCAGAUUGUUCCUAGCUGCUAGCACUAUGCUUAGUGCCCCAACCCCGGUCACUAGAAUCAGGCUCAGUGUCAGGAAACCAGUUUGUAUCUUUAGUCAGUGAAUCUGAUGUCUUUGGCUUGGCAUCUUGAUCUCUGCUGGACUCUGAGGCCACGGCAGUUAGGGAUACUUGGGGGAUUUGAUUCUUGUGAAUUCUGAGGUGAAGUGACCUGACCUCAUACAGAGCUCCCAGAGUACUGCGUGGAAUAGUACCUUUUUUCCCUUUUAGGUUACAGUUUGCUUAUUUUUCUUACUCAAUUCUCAGCUCAAGAAUAGGUACCAAAAAGUGUUGAAAUGCAUAUUUUAGGAUAAAAAACAAUUAGAAAUAAAUAACAUCUAUAAAUGGGCAUUUUGAGAUUUAGAUAUGUAUUCAGUGUUGGUCAUUUGUUUUGUAUCUUGUGAUUUUUUAAAUCUCAUGAUGUUUUAAAUCAUUUAAUUAUGCACCCACAUUUAUUUAUUUUUUGUUUUGCUUAUGAGUUGUUUGCUUAUAAAUAUUAAUCAUUCACAUCUGUAUCUAUAUCUAAACCUAUGUAACCAUAGGCAGGCUGGAAACAGACUGCUCUGCCCACUCCUAGCAUGGACUGCCUUUCUUUAAGCGCCAUAAAUCCUCAUGGCCAGUUCAGACAUAAGCCCAUACUGGUCCAUUAGGGCAAGUGGGGGCAUUACCCUGCCACCCCAGUCAGUCUUCACUGGCCUGCUUCCUUACUUGCAACCAGGCCAGUGGGUAACAAUGCCUGCCAGGGUUUCCCUUUAGAACUCAGUAGGGAUAUUUGGGGUGUGUGUGUUAAAACUAACAUUCGUUGACUGCCUGUCAUUGGCUCUGGAUGCACCUGCUGCUAGCCUUUCUGCCUUCCUCCCUAGCAGUUUCAAUAGGCACCAGCCACCACCGUAUCAGUCUCAACUAGGCAUAUUUCCUUUUCAGCUACCCACACACCUCACCUUGGUUGUAGGAGGGUGUAACUGGUAAUUUCUAGGAGUCUGUAGUGAAUUUUGUUUAACAACAACAACAACAACAACAACAACAACAACACUCACGGGGUUUGUUGCUAGAAAUCAAGCAUUUUACAAUUUGAACUACUCCCCCUCUCCCCCCUGCCAAGCCUAGUAGAAAAGCCAUUAAUGGUAAAACAACACACACAAAAAACACACAAAUUAAAAAUGGAGAGAACAACUCCAUUUUUUAAUUGAGUGAUUAUAAAUUUUGCUCAUAGCUAAUACCCGCAGGCCCAUAUAUUAAAUGACAUAUCAUGGAGCACAUCUCCUAGAGCUCAGCUGCAAGAUUAUCUAUAGUACAUGACUUAAUAACUACAGUAUAGAAAUCACAGGGAAGGGAGAGAUUUCAGGAACAUGACAACGUCCUUAAAUAGAAUUUUGAAGCCAUGUUCAAAAUAUCUCCUUCUAAUUAGCAGAGAAAGAACUUCCAUAUGUUCGAUCUCAAGCAAGCCUAUUGAAAUGGAUGGCAAUGGCAAAGGAGGAUUUGUUUAGAAGGAUUUUGCUCCGUUAAAACUACAAAGCAAAAAGAUUUGGAAGGAAACAGCAGAUUCAAACGUGGCAGGUUUACUUAACAGGGCUUUCCUAAAAACAUUCCCUGCUUCUCACUCUUAUGAGUGUGAGAGCUAAUUCCAGGGUAUUUCAUAUUCUACCAAAGAAGGAAAAGUAUGGGGGAGAUGAACUCUAUAGUCAAAUCUAAAAUCUGCACUUGGAAAUUGUGUGCUAUCCCUGAACCUGAUGGUUGAGAUUUAGCAACAUUUAAUAUAUUUAUAUUUGCAAAGAAGCAGAGGAAGGGAUGAAGGUUGCCUGGUAGACAGAAACCCUGAUACAGCAAUGGCAAGCUAUGCAUGGAAGCAGGAAUCUGCACAUAAUCCCAAAAAAUCAUAAACCAAAGAAGGAAUGAAGGGGACACUGAAUGAAAAAAACAACAAUGGAAUCCUGGACUUGUUAGGAUCAGAGUGGAUACAGUGGUACCUCUGGUUAUGAGCUUAAUUCCUUCUGGAGGUCCGUUCUUAACCUGAAACUGUUCUUCUUUUUUUUUUAAUAAUAUUUAUUAAAGUUUCAAAGAAAAGAUUACAUAAAUAAAAAGAGAAGAAAAAAAGAAAGAAAAAAAAGAAAAAAAAUACAAAGUACAGAAAAAAGAUAAAAAACACUUAAAAAACACAUCAAUCUUUCCAUGCCUUACAUUUCAUUUCCUUGCUUCCCUGACCUCCUCACACCUCCCUUUUUUGUAUUCCAGUUCUAUUAGUUAAUUCAGCAAUUCCUUUCCCUCUUUGUUUUUGUCUUAAUCCUUUAACUUAAUAUAUGAUAACUUUGGAUUCUCACCUGUUAACAAUCCAUUUUUACAUACACCUUUAUAACAUUGCUGCUAAAACCACUUAACUUCAUUCUGACAUCAUUCUAACAUUCAUUAAUUUUGCAGUAUUUCUGUAAAUAGUCUUUAAAUUUCUUCCAAUCUUCUUCCAUCGACUCUUCUCCCUGGUCUCGGAUUCUGCCAGUCAUUUCCGCCAGUUCCAUAUAGUCCAUCACCUUCAUCUGCCAUUCUUCCAGAGUGGGUAAAUCUUGUGUCUUCCAAUACUUUGCAAUAAGUAUUCUUGCUGCUGUUGUGGCAUACAUAAAGAAAGUUCUGUCCUUCUUUGGCACCAAUUGGCCAACCAUGCCCAGGAGAAAGGCCUCUGGUUUCUUCAGAAAGGUAUAUUUAAAUACCCUUUUCAUUUCAUUAUAAAUCAUCUUCCAGAAAGCCUUAAUCCUUGGGCACGUCCACCAAAGGUGAAAGAAUGUACCUUCGGUUUCUUUACAUUUCCAACAUUUAUUAUCGGGCAAAUGAUAGAUUUUUGCAAGCUUGACUGGUGUCAUGUACUACCUGUAUAUCAUUUUCAUAAUAUUCUCUCUUAAGGCAUUACAUGCCGUAAACUUCAUACCUGUGGUCCAUAACUGUUCCCAGUCAGCCAUCAUUAUGUUAUGUCCAACAUCUUGUGCCCAUUUAAUCAUAGCAGAUUUCACCGUUUCAUCCUGAGUAUUCC